UGCAUAUCAAUAAGCGGAGGAAAAGAAACUAACAAGGAUUCCCCUAGUAACGGCGAGUGAAGCGGGAAAAGCUCAAAUUUGUAAUCUGGCGCCUUCGGCGUCCGAGUUGUAAUCUCGAGAAGUAUUUUCCGCGCUGGACCGCACAUAAGUCUGUUGGAAUACAGCGUCAUAGUGGUGAGAACCCCGUAUAGGGUGCGGAUGCCCAGUGCUUUGUGAUAUACUUUCGAAGAGUCGAGUUGUUUGGGAAUGCAGCUCAAAUGGGGUGGUAAAUUCCAUCUAAAGCUAAAUAUUGGCGAGAGACCGAUAGCGAACAAGUACCGUGAGGGAAAGAUGAAAAGCACUUUGGAAAGAGAGUUAACAGUACGUGAAAUUGUUGGAAGGGAAACGCUUGAAGUCAGACUUGCAUUUUGGAGUUCAGCCGCAAGGUGUACUCUUCAAUUCGCAGGCCAGCAUCAGUUUUUGGGGGUGGAAAAGCGCGGUUGGAAGGUGGCAGUCUCGGCUGUGUUAUAGCUGGCCGCUGGAUUCACUUUUGGGGACUGAGGAACGCAGUACGCUUUUUGCAAGACCCUCGGGUCUUUCGUACUUAGGAUGCUGGUGGAAUGGCUUUAAACGACCCGUCUUGAAACACGGACCA
rnacentral:rRNA from 1 species